rnacentral:misc_RNA from 1 species
GUUCAGUCCUCCCAGGCCCACCACUUCCUUUCGAUACGAAGGUUAUCAGGGGCCGUAGCUCAGCUGGGAGAGCGCCUGCUUUGCAAGCAGGAUGUCGUCGGUUCGAUCCCGUCCGGCUCCACCAACCAUCUUCUGCGAAGAUGGGGCGUGUCGAGUAGAGACGGUGAGAAAAAAGUCAUUCGAAAAAGAGUUUGCGUCGAGCCCUGUGCUCUGCGCCUGUUCUGUUUGACAUCGUAAAGAGAAGAUUUGUUCGAACUUCAUGAGCCGCAAGGUCUCAUGAUUUGUCGCUGGAGACGCUCAAUCUCCAGCAUAUGAUGGGUUUGCCUAACCGCGCCCUCGAACGGAUCUCGAGAAGCUGGUCUUUUUGUGCCAAUUCCAUUGAAGCAGAUCCCGCACAGGAUCUGGUUCGAGGCGACGAUCCCUGCGGGAUCGCGCUUAGCCAAUCCCGCAAGGGGUUUGGCUUGAACGACGAUCCCUUCGGGAUCGCGUGAUGGGUAUUGGCAAUGAGAACGAUCAAGUGUCUUAAGGGCAAUUGGUGGAUGCCUUGGCAUGCACAGGCGAUGAAGGACGUGAUACGCUGCGAUAAGCUACGGGGAGGUGCGAAUACCCUUUGAUCCGUAGAUC